UCUCGAUAGCGUAAAAGUUUUUUUUACACUCCAAUUUGUAUAAGUUGGAACGUUUGCCUACGUUUGCCGCUAGGGGCGCUGUUCCAACUGCAUACAGAUUUGAGUUAACUUUUACGCUAUCGA
rnacentral:pre_miRNA from 9 species